rnacentral:rRNA from 1 species
GUUUCAGCCGCCGCGGUAAUACGGAGGGUGCAAGCGUUAUCCGGAUUCACUGGGUUUAAAGGGUGCGUAGGUGGGCAGGUAAGUCCGCGGUGAAAUCCCCGAGCUUAACUUGGGAACUGCCGUUGAUACUAUCUGUCUUGAAUAUCGUGGAGGUAAGCGGAAUAUGUCAUGUAGCGGUGAAAUGCUUAGAGAUGACAUAGAACACCAAUUGCGAAGGCAGCUUGCUACACGAUAAUUGACACUGAGGCACGAAAGCGUGGGGAGCAAACAGGAUUAGAAACCCCCGUAGUCC